UGGGGAAUAUUGCACAAUGGGCGCAAGCCUGAUGCAGCCAUGCCGCGUGUGUGAAGAAGGCCUUCGGGUUGUAAAGCACUUUCAGCGAGGAGGAAGGUGGUGGACUUAAUACGUUCAUCAAUUGACGUUACUCGCAGAAGAAGCACCGGCUAACUCCGUGCCAGCAGUCGCGGUAAUACGGAGGGUGCAAGCGUUAAUCGGAAUUACUGGGCGUAAAGCGCACGCAGGCGGUUUGUUAAGUCAGAUGUGAAAUCCCCGGGCUCAACCUGGGAACUGCAUUUGAAACUGGCAAGCUAGAGUCUCGUAGAGGGGGGUAGAAUUCCAGGUGUAGCGGUGAAAUGCGUAGAGAUCUGGAGGAAUACCGGUGGCGAAGGCGGCCCCCUGGACGAAGACUGACGCUCAGGUGCGAAAGCGUGGGGAGCAAACAGGAUUAGAUACCCUGGUAGUCCACGCUGUAAAACGAUGUCGAUUUUGGAGGUUGUGCCCUUGAGGCGUGGCUUCCGGAGCUAACGCGUUAAAUCGACCGCCUGGGGAGUACGGCCGCAAGGUU
rnacentral:rRNA from 1 species